GAASGGUGCAAGCGUUACUCGGAAUUACUGGGCGUAAAGCGUGCGUAGGUGGUUUGUUAAGUCUGUCGUGAAAUCCCCGGGCUCAACCUGGGAAUGGCGAUGGAUACUGGCAAGCUAGAGUGAGGUAGAGGAGAGUGGAAUUCCCGGUGUAGCAGUGAAAUGCGUAGAGAUCGGGAGGAACAUCAGUUGCGAAGGCGGCUCUCUGGACCAUCACUGACACUGAGGCACGAAAGCGUGGGGAGCAAACAGGAUUAGAUACCCUGGUAGUCCACGCCCUAAACGAUGCGAACUGGACGUUGGGCUCAAUUAGGAGCUCAGUGUCGAAGCUAACGCGUUAAGUUCGCCGCCUGGGGAGUACGGUCGCAAGACUG
rnacentral:rRNA from 1 species